rnacentral:rRNA from 1 species
UGGGGGAUAUUGCACAAUGGGGGAAACCCUGAUGCAGCGACGCCGCGUGGAGGAAGAAGGUUUUCGGAUUGUAAACUCCUGUCGUUAGGGACGAUAAUGACGGUACCUAACAAGAAAGCACCGGCUAACUACGUGCCAGCAGCCGCGGUAAAACGUAGGGUGCAAGCGUUGUCCGGAAUUACUGGGUGUAAAGGGAGCGCAGGCGGACCGGCAAGUUGGAAGUGAAAACUAUGGGCUCAACCCAUAAAUUGCUUUCAAAACUGCUGGCCUUGAGUAGUGCAGAGGUAGGUGGAAUUCCCGGUGUAGCGGUGGAAUGCGUAGAUAUCGGGAGGAACACCAGUGGCGAAGGCGACCUACUGGGCACCAACUGACGCUGAGGCUCGAAAGCAUGGGUAGCAAACAGGAUUAGAUACCCUGGUAGUCCAUGCCGUAAACGAUGAUUACUAGGUGUUGGAGGAUUGACCCCUUCAGUACCGCAGUUAACACAAUAAGUAAUCCACCUGGGGAGUACGACCGCAAGGUUGAAACUCAAAGGAAUUGACGGGGGCCCGCACAAGCAGUGGAGUAUGUGGUUUAAUUCGAAGCAACGCGAAGAACCUUACCAGGUCUUGACAUCCGAUGCAUAGCUUAGAGAUAAGUGAAGUCCUUCGGGACAUCGAGACAGGUGGUGCAUGGUUGUCGUCAGCUCGUGUCGUGAGAUGUUGGGUUAAGUCCCGCAACGAGCGCAACCCUUAUUGCCAGUUACUACGAAAGAGGACUCUGGCGAGACUGCCGUUGACAAAACGGAGGAAGGUGGGGAUGACGUCAAAUCAUCAUGCCCUUUAUGACCUGGGCUACACACGUACUACAAUGGCGUUUAACAAAGAGAAGCAAGACCGCGAGGUGGAGCAAAACUCAAAAACAACGUCUCAGUUCAGAUUGCAGGCUGCAACUCGCCUGCAUGAAGUCGGAAUUGCUAGUAAUCGCGGAUCAGCAUGCCGCGGUGAAUACGUUCCC